GUAGGUGGCAAGCGUUGUCCGGGAAUUAUUGGGGCGUAAAGCGCGCGCAGGCGGUUCGUUUAAGUCUGAUGUGAAAGCCCACGGCUCAACCGUGGAGGGUCAUUGGAAACUGGAGAACUUGAGUACAGAAGAGGAAAGCGGAAUUCCACGUGUAGCGGUGAAAUGCGUAGAGAUGUGGAGGAACACCAGUGGCGAAGGCGGCUUUCUGGUCUGUAACUGACGCUGAGGCGCGAAAGCGUGGGGAGCAAACAGGAUUAGAUACCCUGGUAGUCCACGCCGUAAACGAUGAGUGCUAAGUGUUAGGGGGUUUCCGCCCCUUAGUGCUGCAGCUAACGCAUUAAGCACUCCGCCUGGGGAGUACGGCCGCAAAGGCUG
rnacentral:rRNA from 1 species